ACAAGAACUAUUAUAUAUGAAAAUAGGUGUCAUCUAUAUAUCAAACGUGAGAUGGUUUGUGACCAGCUGCCGAUCAAGGGCUUUAUCUCAGCCUGGGAUUUUAGUUUGGAUGCUAAAUAAAGAGUAACAAAACAGUUACGGUUGGACAAAGCAUCAUCCUAUCAGCACUGGUUCUCUCUCUCUCUUCACAUAAAAGCAACACCGCCUCUCUCUCUUCACAGAAAUUCAACCAGCAACCCUCUCCUGCACCAUAAACUCACCACGGGCUCUCUCUCCACCACCGAUUCUCUAUUCCCACCGCAUUCACACUGUUAAAGACAACCAUUCAGCCUAUGCAAGAGCUGUUGCAAAAGAAACUGAUGUUCUUGAGUCAAAGGAUUCAUCGUUGGAUGUGUCAUUUGAAGAAUUGCUUAUUGAUUUUGUCUCAACUAUCGAUGGACUUUCACUAGCUGAAGCACCUGCGUUUAAGAUGACUCCUGGAGAAGCACCUGCCAAUGUUGCGGUUAGCAUCACCAAACUUGGCGGUUCAUCCACUUUUAUUCGGAAGGAAAACUAGGUCAUCAAAAUUGCCCAUCACCGAUAAGGACAACUCUGAAACAAGAUGCCUAACAUGGAUAUCAAUCUCCUUCACCGUCUGUAGCUCAUCUAUUAUCAUAUAUAUAUAGUUAUUAGUACCCAUUUCUGUCACUCUUCUAAUGUUCACCAAUGCCAUGUAAAAUAUUUCGCUUCUUCUAACUAUUGUAUCUUACACACCCUUCGCCUUGCAUAAUACGAUAUCGUCCUAUUAAAUUGGGUCUA